AAUGAACGUUGGCGGCGUGGAUUAGGCAUGCAAGUCGAGCGAGAAGCUUAAGAAAGAUACUUCGGUUGAUUUCUUGGGUGGACAGCGGCGAAAGGGAGAGUAACGCGUAGAUACGUACCCAGGGGUUCGGGAUAGCUGCGGGAAACUGCAGGUAAUACCGAAUAAUGUUUCCGAACCAAAGAUUUAUCGCCCCCGGAGCGGUCUGCGUCCUAUUAGCUUGUUGGUGGGGUAAUGGCCUACCAAGGCUCAGAUGGGUAGCGGGUGUGAGAGCAUGGCCCGUCUCACUGGGACUGAGACACUGCCCAGACACCUACGGGUGGCUGCAGUCGAGAAUCUUCCGCAAUGGACGAAAGUCUGACGGAGCGACGCCGCGUGCGGGAUGAAGGCCUUCGGGUUGUAAACCGCUGUCAGAGGGGAGCAAAUUUUGAGCGAUCCUCAGAGGAAGCACAGGCUAAGUUCGUG
rnacentral:rRNA from 1 species